rnacentral:rRNA from 1 species
UACAGAGGGUGCGAGCGUUGUCCGGAAUCACUGGGCGUAAAGGGCGCGUAGGCGGCUUGGUAAGCGUGCGGUGAAAGCCCGGGGCUCAACCCCGGGUCGGCCGUGCGAACUGCUGGGCUGGAGCACUGUAGAGGCAGGUGGAAUUCCGGGUGUAGCGGUGGAAUGCGUAGAGAUCCGGAAGAACACCGGUGGCGAAGGCGGCCCAGCUGG